GGGCUUGGCCCCGCCCGGCGGGGAAGCGGGGACUCUCCGGAUGGGAGACUGGACGCUUCGCCGAGGGUGGGCUAGGAACGCCGAGAGUCAGCCCCAGGGAGCGCCAGGGAACUGCACCUGUCACCGAAGGGCGGGACGGGCGGCUCCGGGACAGGAAGGUCCCGACCGGGGCUCUCAAGAUUUAUGCUAAAUCUACUCUGCCUGUGCUCUAUAAAUGGAACAACAAAGCCUGGAUAACAGCACAUCUGUUUAUAGCAUGGUUAACUGAAUAUUUUAAGCUCACCGUUGAUAGCUACUGCUCAGAAAAAGAUUCCUUUCAAACUGUUACUGCUCAUUGACAAUGCACCUGGUCACUCAAAAGCUCUGAUGGAGAUGUACAAGGAGAUUAAUGUUGUUUUCAUGCCUGCUAACACAACAUCCAUUCUGCAGCCCAUGGAUCAGGGGGUAAUUCUGACUUGCAAGACUUGUUAUUUAAGAAAUACAUUUUGUAAGGCUGUAGCUGCCAUAGAUAAUGAUUCCUCUGAUUUAUCUGGGCAAAGUCAACUGAAAACCUUCUAAAAAGGAUCCACCAUUCUAGAUGCCAUUAAGAAUAUUUGUGAUUCAUGGGAGGAGGUCAAAAUAUCUACAUUAACAGGAGUCUGGAAGAAGUUGAUUCCAACCCUCAUGGAUGACGUGGAAGGGUUCAACACUGCAUCAGAGGAAGGAACUGCAGAUGUGGUGGAAAUAGCAAGAGAACUAGAAGUGGAGCUGGAAGAUGGGACUGAAUUGCUGCAAUCUCACGACAAAAUGUAGAUGGCUGAGGAGCUGGUUCUUACGGAUAAGCAAAUAAAGUGGUUUCUUGGGAUGGAAUCUAUUUCCGGUGAAGAUGCCAUGAACAUUGUUGAAAUCACAACACGGGAUUCAGAAUAUGAUAUGUACUUAGUUGAGUAAGCAGUGGUAGAGUUUGUAGGAUUGACUCCAAUUUUGAAAGAAGUUCUACUGUGGGUAAAUGCUAUCAAACAGGCUUGCAUGCUACAGAGAAAUCUUUUGUGAAAGGAAGAGUCAACUGAUGUGGCAAACUUCACUGCUGUCUUAUUUGAAGAAAUUGCCACAGCCACCCCAGCCUUCAGCAACACCACCCUAAGUCAGCCACCAUCAAUGUUGAGGCAAGACCCUCUAAGGCCGGAUGUGGUGGCUCACGCCUGUAAUCCUAGCACUUUGGGAAACCGAGGCGGGUGAAUCACGAGGUCAGGAGAUUGAGACCAUCCUGGCUAACACGGUGAAACCCCGUCUCUACUAAAAAUACAAAAAAUUAGCUGGGUGUGGUGGCGGGUGCCUAUAGUCCCAGCUACUCAGGAGGCUGAGGCAGGAGAAUCGCUUGAACCUGGGAGGCGGAGGUUGCAGUGAGCCGAGAUGGUGCCAUUGCACUCCAGCCUGGGCUACACAGUGAGACUCCAUCUAAAAAAAAAAAAAAAAAAAGACCCUCCACCAGCAAAAAGAUUACAACUUCUAAAGGCUCAGAUCAUUGUUAGCACUUUUUAGCAAUAAAGUAUUUUAAAAUUAAGAUAUGUAUAUAUUUUUAAAGACAUAAUGCUAUUGCUCAUUUAAUAGACAACCAUUAGAUGACCAUUAUAGUGUAAACGUAACUUUUAUAUGCACUGGGAAACCAAAAAAUUCGUGUGUCUCACUUUAUUAUAAUAUUCACUUUAUUGUGCGGUGGCCUGGAACCAGACCCACAAUAUCUCCGAGGUGUGCCUGUACUUAGUUUAAAACUGACUUUCAUAGGGUCUCUAUUCAGACUGUUCAUGAAAGAUGUUCCUCCAUUGUAAAGACUAUCAGAAUCUGUCUGGGUGCAGUGGCUCACGCCUAUAAUCCCAGCACUUUGAGAGGCCGAGGUGGGUGGAUCAGUUGAGGCCAGGAAUUUGAGACCAGCCUGGGCAACACAGUGAAACCCUGUCUCUACUGAAAAUAUCAAAAAUUAGCCGGGCAUGGUGGCACAU
ensembl:lncRNA DHRS4-AS1 DHRS4 antisense RNA 1